AGGAAGGGUGCGAGUGUUUGAGACACACUGACUGAGCCCUUUCAGUGAGUCUGCAUCCAUGCAGACUUCACCAAAUGGAAUUGUCCACACAACGUUUACCGCAGAGACCAGAGGGAAAUCUGGAAAUUUGAAAGGUAAACAACAGCACGACACACGACCACGGAAUGGAACGGACGUGUUGUCCAGCUUGUAUAACAAGAGUUUGAACAAAUUUUGAAUCAGGCAGCUGUCUCCUUUGCUUGGGCCGUGUGCAAAGCAACAUACUUAAAAUGAAAAUGCCCAAACCGGCAAGUGUCGGCAACAUCUUUGUUGUUAAACGUCGCCAAGGUAACGUGAUCUCGUGAAGUGCUGUCCCAAUCUCAUUUAUCUGAGCCCAUGUGCCCUCACACACUCACUCACUUAGCACCUGAGAUCAGUUAAGUCUGUGAGUCUUUAGUCCAGGGCUCACUUUGGGAUUUGGCCAAAAUGACCAGACGUAUUUACUACAAACACAACUUUCGUAACAUCUUGGAAAUUGUUCGGAUGAUAGAUUUUAGGGCUCAUAUUUACUCUUUGAUGACUCUUACCUAAGUUAGUUGCAACAAAAUAUCACACUCACAUUUAGAGUAUUUACUGUAGUGCAAAGGACUUAUUUAAGGUCUGUGAUUUCACAUUUUUUCAUGCAGUAUUUGUCAUUCAAACUAAUCGUGUAUGUGAACAUUGGAAGAAGAGUAAUUGUUUUUGUAUCUGACGUUACAAUGGCCGAUAAUCCGUCUACGAAUCAGGUGAAACUGGAAUUCAUUUUUUGGCUCUGAAAUAUUUUAGCUGGUAAUGAUCAUGAUAGUCAUCAUGGUCUUUUGCCAAAAACCAUUUGCCCAACUGUUGAUUCUCUGUUUGAUUUAUUCAACAACUAAAUCAUGAAUCAGGUUCACCUGGUUUAAGAAAACUCUUAAAGGCCAAGUAACUAUUGUGAAUAAAGGUCAUCUUAUAAGACUGAUACAAAAGGCAAUAAUUUAAAGCCAUGUAGAAGUUAAAUUUUGCCCAGAGCUGCCUCUGUCUUAUUGUAUGGGACAUGUUAUACUGAAGAAUAAAAGUAAAACUACUAAA